GGUAGAAAAGAAACAUAUUUGAGCAUGUUAGAAAAAGAAACGAAAACCAAUUCAACACAUAAAAAUAAACGUGCUUACAGUUGAUUCCAUGAAAUUCCAAAGAAUAACUGUCAUCAACUAUCAUUCUAAGAAGAAAAGGACAUGUGUACAUUAUGAACUGGCUAUACAGUGGUUACUGUUCAGGUUGUUCAGUUAGAAACAUGGAGAAAUAACUGCACAUGAUUUUCUAGAACCUCCAUUACCUUCCGGUUUAUCAGUGCAGCUUGUGGGAUGUUACUUCCCCGAUCAGGGACUGAACCCGGGCCCAGCAGUAAACAGCAAGCCCUAACAACCGAACAGACAGAGAUUUUCCAUCAGAGUUAUAUUUUAUUUGGUGGCAGUUUUUAGGACUUCAAACCCAGGAGAGAGCAUCUUAAGUAACCCUGAAAGAACUGUUCCGUGGAGGCAGAGGGGGAGAAGCCAAGCUAUAAAAAAGUUUGCAACAAGCGGCAGGUAGUCUAAACAUCAAAAAUUAUUGUUAAUUAAGGAAAACCAGUUACCUCAAGUUAAAGAAUUUAGUGCUUUUCUUUGUAUGGGAAGAUG